GAUAAACGCUGGCGGCGUGCCUAAUACAUGCAAGUCGAACGAGGGAUCCUUGUAGCAAUACGGGGAUUUCCUAGUGGCGAAUGGGUGAGUAACGCGUUGGUGACCUGCCCCAAAGAGAGGAAUAACUCCGGGAAACUGGAGCUAAUACCUCAUGUGGUUACGAGAUUUAGAACCUCGUAACUAAAGGAGAGAUCCACUUUGGGAGGGGCCUGCGUCCCAUCAGCUUGUUGGUAGGGUAAUAGCCUACCAAGGCUAAGACGGGUAGGGGACCUAAGAGGGUGACCCCCCACACUGGCACUGAAACACGGGCCAGACACCUACGGGUGGCUG
rnacentral:rRNA from 1 species